UAGCAAGAAAAAAGAAAUUUUGGAAUAAGAAAAAAGUAGCAAUAAACUGAAAAUAAGAAAUUUUAGAAUUAUGCUGAAAACGUAAAAUUUUUGUUUUCUAAAUUCUUCAAUAAAAUUGAAUUUAUUUUUUAAAUUAGUUUUAAAAAAUGUUUAACCACUUAAAUUUAUUUUAGGUCCCAUAUUUUUAAAUUUUAAAAACAUAAAAUUAUUUUUAAAUCCUAUACCAGUCAACCUCUAAUUUAUUUUGUAAAAAUUAAAAUGAGUAUCCAUUUUUAGAGGGCAUGUUGAACUUUUUACCAGUUUUUAAAACUCUUUUUUAUUUAUGCCAAUUUUUUAACUGCUCUUCCCAUAAUACCCAUAUGGGGUACCCAUCAUCUUCUCCAACACGACAUACACUGCAUCUUCUUCACCUAUUAACAUUCACUCACAUUUGAGCUUCAUCAUCCCUUUGUUGCCAUAAGUCUAUCCUACCAUCAAAUAUAUCACCAUGAACCAAAAAAUAUUUUAGCUUCUUUUAUCUUUCACUCUUCGUCUUCUUCACCAUGGCCAACUGGGCUUAGAGUGUCUUCACCCAUCUACUGUCACAAACCCAUAACUCCUAAUCUCCCAUUUACGAGUAUAGCAUUCUGUUGCUGGAGUUGAUCUAUAUUCCAUCUCUUUGCCAUUUGUGACUUGAGGAAACUGAGCUUGUAGUUGGCAGUGGUUGGUUGAUUGCUUCGUUCGUCACUACAAUUUCAGAGAAAAUAGUUAUGGCGGCAGAAAGAUUCUUGGCAGCUUGGGGAUGUGUAUUGAGGCAGGAUGGAAUCGGUGGAUUGCGCGUUCGAUUCGAGGAUGAAGUUUUGAAGUCUUUUAGUUAUGAUUUCUAUGUAUUAUUUUUCCGCACUUAAUUUUGUAACCAAUUUAUUUAAGUUAUGUUUUGUUUUCAAAACAAUGGGAUGCCACAUCCUAAAUGAAUUUUUAUCUA